rnacentral:sRNA from 1 species
AGGAGAUCUCUUGGCUGCAUUUUCUGACAUAGCCACCGGAAAAGGAGGACCACAGUACAGCUACUAUAGCAUCCAGAGUGUCAAGCCUUACAGUGGCACUGACAGCGGCACAGAUUGGUGGCAUACUAUCUAUGGCCCAAUAAUAACAGCCAUACUUAUUGCCCUGGGGAUUAUCUUGUUAGCUGUUUUGAUUUUUUGCUGCUGUCGACGUCAUCGUAAGAAAAAGAAAUCUGAAAGGACAUCUUCCAGUGAAGAGCCAGAAAUACCGGCUGAAGAUUAUUCUCACAGAUAUUUUAAAGGUUAGCUUGAUGU